UACAGAGGGUGCGAACGUUGCUCGGAAUUACUGGGCGUAAAGCGCGUGUAGGCGGGGUCGCAAGUCAGAUGUGAAAUCCCUGGGCUCAACCCAGGAACUGCAUCUGAAACUGCGAUCCUUGAGUACUGGAGAGGGUGGCGGAAUUCCUGGUGUAGAGGUGAAAUUCGUAGAUAUCAGGAGGAACACCGGUGGCGAAGGCGGCCACCUGGACAGUAACUGACGCUGAGACGCGAAAAGCGUGGGGAGCAAACAGG
rnacentral:rRNA from 1 species